rnacentral:rRNA from 1 species
UGUAACGCGUGGAUAACCUGCCUAUUAGCCUGGGAUAACGCCUGGAAACGGGUGCUAAUACCGGAUACGCUCACUGGGUCGCAUGGUUUGGUGAGGAAAGGUUAAAUCCGCUAAUAGAUGGGUCCGCGUCCCAUUAGCUUGUUGGUGGGGUAACGGCCUACCAAGGCGACGAUGGGUAGCCGGCCUGAGAGGGCGACCGGCCACACUGGAACUGAGACACGGUCCAGACUCCUACGGGAGGCAGCAGUGGGGAAUCUUCCGCAAUGGGCGCAAGCCUGACGGAGCAACGCCGCGUGAGCGAAGAAGGCCUUCGGGUUGUAAAGCUCUGUCCAGGGGGAAGAAGCUCGUGACGGUACCCCUGGAGGAAGCCCCGGCUAACUACGUGCCAGCAGCCGCGGUAAAACGUAGGGGGCGAGCGUUGUCCGGAAUUACUGGGCGUAAAGGGCGUGUAGGCGGCGAUGCAAGUCAGUCGUGAAACCCGCCGGCUUAACCGGUGGCUGGCGAUUGAAACUGCAUAGCUUGAGUGCAGGAGAGGGAAGUGGAAUUCCCAGUGUAGCGGUGAAAUGCGUAGAUAUUGGGAGGAACACCAGUGGCGAAAGCGGCUUCCUGGCCUGUAACUGACGCUGAGGCGCGAAAGCGUGGGGAGCAAACAGGAUUAGAUACCCUGGUAGUCCACGCCGUAAACGAUGGGUGCUAGGUGUUGGGGGUAUCGACCCCUCCAGUGCCGCAGUUAACGCAAUAAGCACCCCGCCUGGGGGAGUACGGCCGCAAGGCUGAAACUCAAAGGAAUUGACGGGGGCCCGCACAAGCGGUGGAGCAUGUGGUUUAAUUCGACGCAACGCGAAGAACCUUACCAGGUCUUGACAUC